GGGGCGGGGGCUAUACAUGCAGUCGUACGCUUCUUUUUCCACCGGAGCUUGCUCCACCGGAAAAAGAAGAGUGGCGAACGGGUGAGUAACACGUGGGUAACCUGCCCAUCAGAAGGGGAUAACACUUGGAAACAGGUGCUAAUACCGUAUAACAAUCGAAACCGCAUGGUUUUGAUUUGAAAGGCGCUUUCGGGUGUCGCUGAUGGAUGGACCCGCGGUGCAUUAGCUAGUUGGUGAGGUAACGGCUCACCAAGGCCACGAUGCAUAGCCGACCUGAGAGGGUGAUCGGCCACAUUGGGACUGAGACACGGCCCAAACUCCUACGGGAGGCAGCAGUAGGGAAUCUUCGGCAAUGGACGAAAGUCUGACCGAGCAACGCCGCGUGAGUGAAGAAGGUUUUCGGAUCGUAAAACUCUGUUGUUAGAGAAGAACAAGGAUGAGAGUAACUGUUCAUCCCUUGACGGUAUCUAACCAGAAAGCCACGGCUAACUACGUGCCAGCAGCCGCGGUAAUACGUAGGUGGCAAGCGUUGUCCGGAUUUAUUGGGCGUAAAGCGAGCGCAGGCGGUUUCUUAAGUCUGAUGUGAAAGCCCCCGGCUCAACCGGGGAGGGUCAUUGGAAACUGGGAGACUUGAGUGCAGAAGAGGAGAGUGGAAUUCCAUGUGUAGCGGUGAAAUGCGUAGAUAUAUGGAGGAACACCAGUGGCGAAGGCGGCUCUCUGGUCUGUAACUGACGCUGAGGCUCGAAAGCGUGGGGAGCAAACAGGAUUAAUCGGGGGUGGUUCCAUACAAAAAAACAUAUUGGAAAGUGCCCGGGCGUA
rnacentral:rRNA from 1 species